GUCCACACCGUAAACGAUGAUUACUAGAUUUUGGCCUUAUGGUCAGAGUCCAAGCGAAAGUGUUAAGUAAUCCACCUGGGGGAGUACGUCCGCAAGGAUGAAACUCAAAGGAAUUGACGGGGGCCCGCACAAGCGGUGGAGCAUGUGGUUUAAUUCUAUGAUACGCGAGGAACCUUACCUGGGCUUGAAAGUUAGUGACCGCUCCUGAAAGGGAGCUUUCCGCAAGGACACGAAACUAGGUGCUGCAUGGCUGUCGU
rnacentral:rRNA from 1 species